rnacentral:rRNA from 1 species
CCUACGGGAGGCAGCAGUGGGGGAUAUUGCACAAUGGGGGAAACGCUGAUGCAGCGACGCCGCGUGUGGGAAGACGGUCCUCUGGAUUGUAAACCACUGUCCCCAGGGACGAAGAUGACGGUACCUGGGGAGGAAGCUCCUGCUAACUACGUGCCAGCAGCCGCGGUAAUACGUAGGGAGCGCGCUUUGUCCGGUUUUACUGGGUGUAAAGGGAGCGUAGGCGGGGAUGCAAGUUGGGUGUCAAAACUACGGGCUAAACUGGUAGUCGCACUCAAAACUGCAGCUCUUGAGUGAAGUAGAGGCAGGCGGAAUGCGUAGUGUAGCGGUGAAAUGCGUAGAUAUUAGGAGGAACACCAGUGGCGAAGGCGGCCUGCUGGGCUUUUACUGACGCUGAGGCUCGAAAGUGUGGGGAGCAAACAGGAUUAGAUACCCUUGUAGUC